rnacentral:rRNA from 1 species
GUCGAACGGCAGCACAGUAAGAGCUUGCUCUUAUGGGUGGCGAGUGGCGGACGGGUGAGGAAUACAUCGGAAUCUACCUUUUCGUGGGGGAUAACGUAGGGAAACUUACGCUAAUACCGCAUACGACCUUCGGGUGAAAGCAGGGGACCUUCGGGCCUUGCGCGGAUAGAUGAGCCGAUGUCGGAUUAGCUAGUUGGCGGGGUAAAGGCCCACCAAGGCGACGAUCCGUAGCUGGUCUGAGAGGAUGAUCAGCCACACUGGAACUGAGACACGGUCCAGACUCCUACGGGAGGCAGCAGUGGGGAAUAUUGGACAAUGGGCGCAAGCCUGAUCCAGCCAUACCGCGUGGGUGAAGAAGGCCUUCGGGUUGUAAAGCCCUUUUGUUGGGAAAGAAAAGCAGUCGGCUAAUACCCGGUUGUUCUGACGGUACCCAAAGAAUAAGCACCGGCUAACUUCGUGCCAGCAGCCGCGGUAAUACGAAGGGUGCAAGCGUUACUCGGAAUUACUGGGCGUAAAGCGUGCGUAGGUGGUUGUUUAAGUCUGUUGUGAAAGCCCUGGGCUCAACCUGGGAAUUGCAGUGGAUACUGGGCGACUAGAGUGUGGUAGAGGGUAGUGGAAUUCCCGGUGUAGCAGUGAAAUGCGUAGAGAUCGGGAGGAACAUCCAUGGCGAAGGCAGCUACCUGGACCAACACUGACACUGAGGCACGAAAGCGUGGGGAGCAAACRGGAUUAGAUACCCUGGUAGUCCACGCCCUAAACGAUGCGAACUGGAUGUUGGGUGCAAUUUGGCACGCAGUAUCGAAGCUAACGCGUUAAGUUCGCCGCCUGGGGAGUACGGUCGCAAGACUGAAACUCAAGGAAUUGACGGGGGCCCGCACAAGCGGUGGAGUAUGUGGUUAAUYCGAUGCACGCGAAGACCUUMCCUGGUCUUGACAUGUCGAGAACUUUCCAGAGAUGGAUUGGUGCCUUCGG